rnacentral:lncRNA from 1 species
UCUCCCACCACAGCUCCACUGGAUGGAACCGCCCCAGCUUCCUCCAGCCCAAACUGCUGCACCCACCACCCAGAGAAAUGGAAGUCAAGGACUCAGCAGUCCAAGGCAGCCCUUCUGAAGCAACUUCAGGGGCUCAGCAAAUAUUUGUUGAGAACCUCCUCUGUGCCUGGCUGGAUCAGGGUGGGGCUGUAGAGCUGCACAUCAUAGUCUGCAUCCGGGUCAGCCCUGAAUCUCAGGCACUGGAAGGUUACCCUGAUGGGCAGGACCCACUCCCAUCACUAAGAGAACAUCAAAAGGGCAGGUGUGGGGGUGGAUAGGAAGAUCAGGAUCUCUGAAAGGGAAAUUUCAGUC